rnacentral:rRNA from 1 species
AGUGAACGCUGGCGGUAGGCCUAACACAUGCAAGUCGAACGGCAGCACAGUAAGAGCUUGCUCUUACGGGUGGCGAGUGGCGGACGGGUGAGGAAUACAUCGGAAUCUACUUUUUCGUGGGGGAUAACGUAGGGAAACUUACGCUAAUACCGCAUACGACCUACGGGUGAAAGUAGGGGAUCUUCGGACCUUGCGCGAUUGAAUGAGCCGAUGUCGGAUUAGCUAGUUGGCGGGGUAAAGGCCCACCAAGGCGACGAUCCGUAGCUGGUCUGAGAGGAUGAGCAGCCACACUGGAACUGAGACACGGUCCAGACUCCUACGGGAGGCAGCAGUGGGGAAUAUUGGACAAGGGGCGCAGGCCUGAUCCAGCCAUACCGCGUGGGUGAAGAAGGCCUUCGGGUUGUAAAGCCCUUUUGUUGGGAAAGAAAAGCAGCAGGUUAAUACCCCGCUGUUCUGACGGUACCCAAAGAAUAAGCACCGGCGAACUUCGU